rnacentral:rRNA from 1 species
UGAGGAAUAUUGGUCAAUGGACGGAAGUCUGAACCAGCCAAGUAGCGUGCAGGAUGACGGCCCUAUGGGUUGUAAACUGCUUUUGUAUGGGGAUAAAGUUAGGGACGUGUCCCUAUUUGCAGGUACCAUACGAAUAAGGACCGGCUAAUUCCGUGCCAGCAGCCGCGGUAAUACGGAAGGUCCAGGCGUUAUCCGGAUUUAUUGGGUUUAAAGGGAGCGUAGGCUGGUGAUUAAGUGUGUUGUGAAAUGUAGACGCUCAACGUCUGAAUUGCAGCGCAUACUGGUUUCCUUGAGUACGCACAACGUUGGCGGAAUUCGUCGUGUAGCGGUGAAAUGCUUAGAUAUGACGAAGAACUCCGAUUGCGAAGGCAGCUGACGGGAGCGCAACUGACGCUUAAGCUCGAAGGAGCGGGUAUCAAACAGG